GGGGAGGAUUUUGGCUGUAAAUGCAAACGUGGGAUCAAAACACACAAAUCAGCAGCUAAGCACUGAGCCAUCAGCGCAGCGCCUCUUCUGUGAUUUGUCUGAAGCUGGUUGAGAACGCUGCUGGUUAUUGACUGUUCUUCCUUUUUCAGUGAUGCCACAUUGAUUUGUCCAUAGGAUGCUGGCUUUGCUUAUUGCAGCACAUGGCAGUGCGUGCCUCACCAUACUCACUCUGUGAUGUUAUCACGCAGGGAUGGUGCGGCCACGAGGAGCUCCUUCGUAGGCGGUGAGGCCGAAUGUCACACUGUGCUGUGUGGGCACAUGGGCUCGUGGAGAGGUGUUGGGAAAUGCAGGAAAACUGCAGCUUGCCCACGGCAGCUCUGUGUCCCUCAGCUCUGCUCCACUCUACAAAGUGAUGUCAUCAUGUGCUGCUUUAGUCCUGAGGUGCCUCCAAUGGCCGCUGUGCCAUCUCAGCUGCUCUUCAGAGCUUCUGCAAAUGAACUCCAUCUCUAUCUCCACAGCAACAACUCACAAACAGAGGCCUAUGACUUCAGCUGAGGAGCAUGCAGCAGGCAUUGAUGAGCUGCCAAGCAACGAAGAUUUGGUUUCAGGGUGGAUGCAGAAGCCAGAUAGUGACAUUUUUCUUGGGUUUUUGUCUGCCCUCCUUCCGGUGAAUUCCCACUGAAGAUAAUUUGGGCUCCGAGAGAAGAAACCCCUCCCCGGGAACUUGUUAUUUCAGUAACAGCUGAGUAAGGCCCAUGGAGGUCUUCAGGCUUCAGACAACCCUUUGGAAGCAAUAAUAACAGCAAGGAAAGAAACAAGAUGGAAAGCAUGGCCCGUGGCCAUCGAUCUACCCAGGCAGUCUGCUGCUGGUGGCACUUCAGCUGGAUGCAAAACCAGCACGAAAAAAAACCACCAAACCACGAUCCAAGUACAAGGUGCCAACAAGUUCAUCUUUAAUUAGCAGUUAAUUAGUUGUUUUGCUCAUUCGUCAGAGCACGAAUGUUUCCCAGCUGUGUAUCUAAACAGUAUUCCUCAGCCUUUCAGGCCUCCCUGUGAUCCCUGCAUCACUGAACAGCCCUGGAGUUCCCUCCAUUCCCCCCGUGGGUGCAGUCCCGCAGCCAUGGGAGCUCUCAGUGGGGGCGAUGCUCUGCGGUGCCUCAGCUCCAGCCCUGCUCUGUGCUCCCUGCCCAGCACUGCAGGGCUUUCCAGUCCUCCUACAUGAGAGAGCAAUGCUUUCUCUGAAGCGUCCUUAGGCAGCGUACCUGCCUGGUGAAGGAUGACUAUUCCUAAAUGGCUUUGCAGUCUUUUGAAAAACCAGUCAUGAAAUAAUUGAGUCAAGCUUUCGUGAAAUAGAUCUUAAUUUUAUUCUAUGGAUGUCAUAGAUCUGAAAUUCUCAAAUGCUGAUGAACUUCCGUACGAACGCUUUAUGAUACUGGAAGUUCCCAGUGCUUGCAGUGCAGUCCUGCAGCGGUGUGGUGUUGGCAUAAGAACAAAUGGGAG
ensembl:lncRNA